ACUAGACAUUCCAUUGUGCCAAUUUUGCAGUAAUGAGAAGCAAAACCAAGGGCCAGAUCAACAUCAACAUCCAAGCUGUUCCUUUGGGCAAUCUGCAAUAAGAUGCGCACAAGUUCUGUACUUCCAAAACGAGAGGCUUCAAGAAAACACUGGUUAACAUUGUCUGCCCCACCUUCAACUAGCAUACCCAACAAUCCUUGGA
rnacentral:misc_RNA from 1 species